rnacentral:misc_RNA from 1 species
GUACUCUCACACUCUCCAAUUCGGAUUGGGGAGCGGUGGACUUGGGUGUUGCUGCUUUACUGUGGCUCACCUCAAAUGAGUUAGUGCAACUCCUGAUUGGACAUAGUACGGCGUGAUAACAUAACCCUCGCUGUUUUACGUCUGAUUAGGAGCCUGUGCUUCCAACCGUCCUCGGACAAUGACUGAUA